GCGGGCAUGCUCAUGGUGAGCCGCCGGCCUUCCAAGUCGCGCAGCGAGGGUUCGAUCCCCUCUGUCCGCUCCA
rnacentral:tRNA from 1 species